rnacentral:rRNA from 1 species
GACGAACGCUGGCGGCGUGCCUAAUACAUGCAAGUAGAACGCUGAAGGAGGAGCUUGCUUCUCUGGAUGAGUUGCGAACGGGUGAGUAACGCGUAGGUAACCUGCCUGGUAGCGGGGGAUAACUAUUGGAAACGAUAGCUAAUACCGCAUAAGAGUAGAUGUCGCAUGACAUUUGCUUAAAAGGUUCAAUUGCAUCACUACCAGAUGGACCUGCGUUGUAUUAGCUAGUUGGUGAGGUAACGGCUCACCAAGGCAACGGUGCAUAGCCGAACUGAGAUGGGGAUCGGCCGCACUGGGACUGAGACACGGCCCAGACUCCUACGGGAGGCAGCGGUAGGGAAUCUUCGGGAAUGGACGGGAGUCUGACCGAGAAACGCCGCGGGAGUGAAGAAGAUAUUCGGGUCGUGAAGCACGGUUGUAAGAGAAGAACGAGAGUGAGAGUGGAAAGUACACAGUGUGACGGUAACUGAUCAAAAAGGGACGGCUAACUACGUG